UACGGAGGGUGCAAGCGUUAUCCGGAUUCACUGGGUUUAAAGGGUGCGUAGGUGGAAUGGUAAGUCAGUGGUGAAAUCUCCAAGCUUAACUUGGAAACUGCCGUUGAUACUAUCAUUCUUGAAUAUCGUGGAGGUGAGCGGGAUAUGUCAUGUAGCGGUGAAAUGCUUAGAUAUGACAUAGAACACCAAUUGCGAAGGCAGGUUACUAAGCAACAACUGACGCUGAUGGACGAAAGCGUGGGGAGCGAACAGG
rnacentral:rRNA from 1 species